rnacentral:other from 1 species
CGUUCGCUGCGUUCGCGGGGGCUUUUAUGUCCUUGAACCGAUGCUCUCAUGGAGCCUGGGCUUGGAACAUGCGAGGCGGGCGUGAUCGUCUCGCGUCAGAUGAACCCGAAGCCUUGCUGACCUCGCCCACCUGAAUCCCCUGGGUUCAGGCCUGCGGUCCCCGGCUCGCGGCGAACAC